rnacentral:rRNA from 1 species
GAUGAACGCUGGCGGCGUGCCUAAUACAUGCAAGUCGAGCGAACAGACGAGGAUCUUGCUCCUCUGACGUUAGCGGCGGACGGGUGAGUAACACGUGGAUAACCUACCUAUAAGACUGGGAUAACUUCGGGAAACCGGAGCUAAUACCGGAUAAUAUAUUGAACCGCAUGGUUCAAUAGUGAAAGACGGUUUUGCUGUCACUUAUAGAUGGAUCCGCGCCGCAUUAGCUAGUUGGUAAGGUAACGGCUUACCAAGGCAACGAUGCGUAGCCGACCUGAGAGGGGGAUCGGCCACACUGGAACUGAGACACGGUCCAGACUCCUACGGGAGGCAGCAGUAGGGAAUCUUCCGCAAUGGGCGAAAGCCUGACGGAGCAACGCCGCGUGAGUGAUGAAGGUCUUCGGAUCGUAAAACCCUGUUAUUAGGGAAGAACAAAUGUGUAAGUAACUAUGCACGUAUUGACGGUACCUAAUCAGAAAGCCACGGCUAACUACGUG